GAUGAAGAACGUAGCGAAAUGCGAUAAGUAGUGUGAAUUGCAGAAUUCAGUGAAUCAUCGAAUCUUUGAACGCACAUUGCGCCCUUUGGUAUUCCUUAGGGCAUGCCUGUUCGAGCGUCAUUUAAACCUUCAAGCUAAGCUUCGUGUUGGGUGACUGUCCGCUUCACGGCGGACUCGCCUCAAAAUUAUUGGCGGCCGGUACAUUGGCUUCGAGCGCAGCAGAAACGCGAACUCGGGCCCGUCGUAUUGGCUCCCAGAAGCUAUCUUCACAAUUUUGACCUCGGAUCAGGUAGGGAUACCCGCUGAACUUAAGCAUAUCAAUAAGCGGAGGA
rnacentral:misc_RNA from 1 species